AGGUGUAAUACCACCAAAUCAUGGUACGUCACAUCCGGUUGCAUACGAAAAUAGGUCGAAAAAAAUAUUCCCUUGAAUUUGACAGUUGUAGAAAAUUACCCUUGCAUUUCAAUACACUAAAAUUUUUCUGAGUCAUAAACAUGUUUGUUGGGUGUCUGAAAGCAUCAUUCUUUUUUUAUUUGGUGGUCCUAUAAAAUAUGUUGGAAAGUUAAGGUUACAUAGUUACCAAAGCUGGUAACCAGGAAAUAAAAGGGUACAAAUUUGGGUUGUUUACUUCCGGUGAUGGUUACUUUCUUAUAUGCAAUGAAAUGUAGAGUGAAAUUUUCACUGUAGUACUGGAAAGGAUUAAACUUUAUUCAUGCUAAGUAUUUCUUUAGUUGAAUCAAAGUUGUUUUGCAACCAAUGAACCCGGUGUAAUAGUAGCACCCAGCUGAACAGAGAGUUUGAUAACAGAAUUGGAAUAUUUGUUGUUCACCAUUAGCACAGCAGUAUGAGCCCGACCGGGAAAGUUUCUGUGAAAAGUUACAUUUUUAGGAUUGCACCUACUUAGUGAACGGUUGAAUCCCUCACUUUUUUGAGUUGAGUGUUAAUCAUGUACUGAAGAGCAUUCUGUUGAAAAAUCUUAUAUGUGAAUUGGUCUGCAGAUGACACAUUAGCUUUGAGCCUAAAGAUAUCAAGUUUUGAUGAAAAAAGAAGGAAAAAUGGACCAAAACAGACCUUCAAAUGAACUAAAAAAGCUUAUACAUGUCCUGACUCUAAACAUGCAGAAGAUGAAACAUGCACUAGAAAAGUUUGUGUGUAGACCUAAAGAAAAUCAAUAGAAGUAGAGGCAAGGAGUCUUCUCCAGUGGAUUUAUGGGGACACGAAGACAAACCUUCAAAGACAGAAAAACAGUCCAAAGUGGAACAAAAAAUAGUGCAGCUGUUAAAGAUCUGUUGCAAAAAAAAAACAGGUAUUAAACGAACUAGGUACUGACUCGCUUAUUUUCGUUAGAGAAAAUAAACAAACCAGUAAAGAACUGAAGACUAAACUUCAGGAAAAAAUUCAGGUAUUAUGCAAAAGACUUUAGUUGUUACGUUUUUGUCUACUUGGAAAACAGCAAGGGCUUACUGAAUAAAAGAACAAAGCAGAAAAAGAUGGGUUUUCGGACUGGAAACAGUCAAAAUACGCAUAUGUAAUAAGUGCAAUGAAAACAAACAUUGCACUUGUUGAAGAAUUCUUAGUUGGAAUGAUGAAUGUAAUUAAUACACUUUGUCAAUUUUGCUCCGUUUUAUACAAUUCAGAAAGAAAUUUUAGAUGUGACAUCGUGGUAACAAUGAGCAAACAAGACAAUCUGAAAUGCUUGAGGACGAUCUCAGAAAACGGAUUUAUGAAAAAAGCAAGUAGGAAAAAUUCACGAAACAACAAUCCGAUGAUUGGUUUAAAAUUCGCAGCAAGGCUAUAUUAGAAUAUUAGAAUAAUAGGGAUCAUAGAUAGUUAGUAC